rnacentral:rRNA from 1 species
GACGAACGCUGGCGGCGUGCUUAACACAUGCAAGUCGAACGAAGUGGCGAACGGGUGAGUAACGCGUAAUCAACCUGCCCUUCAGAGGGGGACAACAGUUGGAAACGACUGCUAAUACCGCAUCCUGAAGUCUGGGAUUGCGUCUGAUUAGCUAGUUGGAGGGGUAACGGCCCACCAAGGAGAUGAUCAGUUGCCGGUCUGAGAGGAUGAACGGCCAAAUUGGGAAUGAGACACGGCCCAGACUCCUACGGGAGGCAGCAGUGGGGAAUCUUCCGCAAUGGACGAAAGUCUGACGGAGCAACGCCGCGUGAGUGAUGACGGCCUUCGGGUUGUAAAGCUCUGUUAAUCGGGACGCGGUACCGGAAUAGAAAGCCACGGCUAACUACGUGCCAGCAGCCGCGGUAAUAC